AGGACGAACGCUGGCGGCGUGCUUAACACAUGCAAGUCGAGCGGAAAGGCCCUUCGGGGUACUCGAGCGGCGAACGGGUGAGUAACACGUGAGUAAUCUGCCCCUAGCUCUGGGAUAGCUCCGGGAAACCGGGAUUAAUACCGGAUACGACCACCUUAGACAUCUUUUGUGGUGGAAAGAAUUUCGGCUAGGGAUGAGCUCGCGGCCUAUCAGCUUGUUGGUGGGGUAACGGCCUACCAAGGCGACGACGGGUAGCCGGCCUGAGAGGGCGACCGGCCACACUGGGACUGAGACACGGCCCAGACUCCUACGGGAGGCAGCAGUGGGGAAGUAUUGCGCAAUGGGCGAAAGCCUGACGCAGCGACGCCGCGUGGGGGAUGAAGGCCUUCGGGUUGUAAACCCCUUUCAGCAGGGACGAAGCGAAAGUGACGGUACCUGCAGAAGAAGCGCCGGCUAACUACGUGCCAGCAGCCGC
rnacentral:rRNA from 1 species